rnacentral:rRNA from 1 species
AAUGAACGCUUGCGCCAUGCCUAACACAUGCAAGUCGAACGAAAUUGUUUUUACAACCUUGGUUGUUUGACAGUUUAGUGGCGAACGGGUGAGUAACGCGUAAGUUACCUACCCCUGGGAGAGGGAUACUAACUGGAAACGGUUUUUAAUACCUCAUAGGCUGAGAAGUAAAAGUAACAACGCCUAGGGACGGGCUUGCGUCUGAUUAUUUUCGCUAGUUGGUUGAGGUAAUGGCUCAGCCAAGGUGAUGAUCAGUAGCUGGUCUGAGAGGAUGACCGGCCACACUGGGACUGAGAGACGGCCCAGACUCCUACGGGAGGCAGCAGUGAGGAAUCUUCCGCAAUGGGCGAAAGCCUGACGGAGCAAUGACGCGUGAGGGAUGACCGCCUGUGGGUGUUAAACCUCUUUUCCCGGAGAAGAAGGACGCGAAAGCGCCUUGACGGUAUCCGGGGAAUAAGCAUCGGCUAACUUCGUGCCAGCAGCCGCCGUAAAAC